CCUACGGGGGGCUGCAGUGAGGAAUAUUGGUCAAUGGCCGCAGGCCUGAACCAGCCAAGUCGCGUGAGGGAUGACGGUCCUACGGAUUGUAAACCUCUUUUGUCAGGGAGUAAAGGGCGUCACGUGUGCCUCUUUGUGUGUACUUUAUGAAAAAGCAUCGGCUAACUCCGUGCCAGCAGCCGCGGUAAUACGGAGGAUGCGAGCGUUAUCCGGAUUUAUUGGGUUUAAAGGGGGCGCAGGGGGGAUGUUAAGUCAGCUGUGAAAAUUUGGGGCUCAACCCCGUAAGUGCAGUUGAAACUGGCGUUCUUGAGUGCACGAGAAGUAGGCGGAAUGCGUGGUGUAGCGGUGAAAUGCAUAGAUAUCACGAAGAACUCCGAUUGCGAAGGCAGCAUAC
rnacentral:rRNA from 1 species